GCCUCUUUAGCUCAGUGGUAGAGCGUUCCGCUCGUAACGGAAAGGCCGGUGGUUCGAUCCCGUCAGGAGGCA